GAUGAACGCUGGCGGUGUGCCUAAUACAUGCAAGUCGAGCGAACAGACGAGGAGCUUACUCCUCUGACGUUAGCGGCGGACGGGUGAGUAACACGUGGAUAACCUACCUAUAAGACUGGGAUAACUUCGGGAAACCGGAGCUAAUACCGGAUAACAUGUUGAACCGCAUGGUUCAACAGUGAAAGACGGUCUUGCUGUCACUUAUAGAUGGAUCCGCGUCGCAUUAGCUAGUUGGUAAGGUAACGGCUUACCAAGGCAACGAUGCGUAGCCGACCUGAGAGGGUGAUCGGCCACACUGGAACUGAGACACGGUCCAGACUCCUACGGGAGGCAGCAGUAGGGAAUCUUCCGCAAUGGGCGAAAGCCUGACGGAGCAACGCCGCGUGAGUGAAGAAGGUCUUCGGAUCGUAAAACUCUGUUAUUAGGGGAGAACAAAUGUGUAAGUAACUAUGCACGUCUUGACGGUACCUAAUCAGAAAGCCACGGCUAACUACGUG
rnacentral:rRNA from 1 species